rnacentral:SRP_RNA from 1 species
UAAUAUUUUUUGGGCAAAGUUCCACUUACGAAGCGUGUCAGAUCUGGAAGGAAGCAGCACUAAGUAGGUUGGGACUUGUGCCUUUUGUUAUGUUUUGAUG